rnacentral:rRNA from 1 species
UACGUAGGGUGCAAGCGUUGUCCGGAAUUAUUGGGCGUAAAGAGCUCGUAGGCGGUCUGUCGCGUCUGCUGUGAAAACUCGGGGCUUAACCCCGGGCCUGCAGUGGGUACGGGCAGACUAGAGUGCGGUAGGGGAGACUGGAAUUCCUGGUGUAGCGGUGAAAUGUGCAGAUAUCAGGAGGAACACCGGUGGCGAAGGCGGGUCUCUGGACAGUUCCUGACACUGAGACACGAAGGCCAGGGGAGCAAACGGG